GGGGCCGGCGAGCGCCGCUUCGCCUAUAGGAAAUUCGCCGUGAGUCGUGCGGAGGGGGCGUGACUCAGCCAUGAGUCGGGGCUUGGAGCCAAUAGGAGCAGGGCAACGGGAGGGCCGGGAGCCAAUGAGGAGACUGGCGCGGCGGCCGCCUGUGAAAGUGGCGAGGCGGCGCGUUAGGGGCAGGGAGGAGAUGAGAGAGGACCUCGAUAUUGUUCGCUAUACUUUGUCAUGUGAGGCUGUAAAUCCCUUCGAGUGAGGUGGGAUUUUAGAUUUACAAACUGUUCCUAAGUGAUUACACACAUACUGCGAAGGAAAAGACUGUCCAGUAGCCAAGUGAGGGCAGAACUCAGGACGCUGAACUCAUUAAGAUUCCAGAGCAACCGGAAUUACUAAUAUGGAAUACGCUACGGAGAAAAAUAAUUGUUUUAUUUGUUUAAAGUACCAUAUUGAUGUUAAAUAAGCAAUAUUCAUAUGUCAUUGUAUGUACAGUAGCCCAAGUGAACUUAGCAGCCUGUCUGAAGCAUCAGGCUAUUGCAGAAAGUCUGUGUGAGCCAUUACGGUAUUAAGAACAAAACAUAAACAAUACAGUGCCUCAAACUGGCAGCUUUUAGUACACUUUGGGUGUUUACCCUUCCAUAGUCUUGCUGACCCUUGGUCUUUGAUUUCAGAGCAACACAAACAAAACAAAAUCAAUUUCUUUAAUUUUGAUGAGCAGCAAAUACUGCGAGGAAUCAUUGCGUGAUCGUGAAGCAAAAAAGAAUUGCUGUUGUUGACAGGAUUUCACAACCGGAGGGUGAAUUUGGAAGCUCGGAGUUGCUUUGUGAAGUCUCACACCUUGUGGCCUGAGUAGAACUCUCCACAAUGAGUUCAGGAUGUAGGUUGUUCUGUUGCUAUCGACAGCACCGAAUACCAGAUGCCGCUAUGAUUGUUACAGAUACUUGCAAAAGGUGGUCCAAGAAAUAAGAACAUGUAAACAUCUGUAAUCAAAUGUUACCAUGAAGGAAAGUUCUGAGUUUGAUUUUUUGCUGUUUAUUGGAAUAAAAAAUCAUUCCCUCAAAUUUUCCUUUUUUUU
rnacentral:lncRNA from 1 species